AUUGAACGCUGGCGGCAUGCCUUACACAUGCAAGUCGAACGGUAGCGGGCCUUCGGGUGCCGACGAGUGGCGAACGGGUGAGUAAUGUAUCGGAACGUACCAUUGAGUGGGGGAUAACGUAGCGAAAGUUACGCUAAUACCGCAUAUUCUCUCCGGAGGAAAGCAGGGGACCGCAAGGCCUUGCGCUCUUUGAGCGGCCGAUAUCAGAUUAGCUAGUUGGUGAGGUAAAGGCUCACCAAGGCGACGAUCUGUAGCGGGUCUGAGAGGAUGAUCCGCCACACUGGAACUGAGACACGGUCCAGACUCCUACGGGAGGCAGCAGUGGGGAAUUUUGGACAAUGGGGGCAACCCUGAUCCAGCCAUGCCGCGUGAGUGAAGAAGGCCUCGGUGUAAG
rnacentral:rRNA from 1 species